UACGUAGGUGGCAAGCGUUGUCCGGAUUUACUGGGCGUAAAGAGCGCGCAGGCGGUCGUUCAAGUCGCGUGUGAAAGCCCCCGGCUCAACUGGGGAGGGUCACGCGAUACUGAUCGACUCGAAGGCAGGAGAGGGUAGUGGUAUUCCCGGUGUAGUGGUGAAAUGCGUAAAUAUCGGGAGGAACACCAGUGGCGAAGGCGACUACCUGGCCUGUUCUUGACGCUGAGGCGCGAAAGCUAGGGGAGCAAACGGG
rnacentral:rRNA from 1 species